rnacentral:rRNA from 1 species
UACGAGGGGGCAAGCGUUGUUCGGAAUUAUUGGGCGUAAAGGGUGCGUAGGCGGUUUUGUAAGUCUUGUGUGAAAUCUUCAGGCUCAACUUGAAGACUGCACGAGAAACUGCAGGGCUUGAGUGUGGGAGAGGUGAGUGGAAUUCCUGGUGUAGCGGUGAAAUGCGUAGAUAUCAGGAGGAACACCUGUGGCGAAAGCGGCUCACUGGACCACAACUGACGCUGAUGCACGAAAGCUAGGGUAGCAAACGGGAUUAG